CAGUCUGUCUCCGGCGCCGCCCGUCGCGGACUCGUCCUUGCUGCAGUCGCCGCCGCAGUCGCCGCCGCCGCCGCCGCUGCUCCUCCGCCUGGCCUGGGCCGUCUGCCCGCAGCCAUGAGCGUGCUCGGCCCCGGUGGAGCCCGCAGUCCUCUAGAUUAGUCUCCACCGCCGUCCAGGACCCACUUGCAGCAUGGAGUCGCCCGCCUCGAGCCAGCCCGCCAGCAUGCCCCAGUCCAAAGGAGCAGCAGCACUGGCCUGUCGACAGUGCAGGUGGCUGGCAAUGGCCUUGCUGACCUCGAGCCGGGCCCACGUGGGGACCUUUGGAGCACAGCCUACGAUCCUGGUGCAAGGAAUGUCCCAUUCUUCUGAUGCUCUGGGAGGGCUGAGCAUCACUUGUAGGUCCCCCUGCCCUGUCAUGGCCUCUUAAAGCCUGAGCAUGGGGCCUGCCCCACAGUGUGGGAGCCUGGGGCCAGAGUCCCACCGAUCUGACCCCUUUUGUGCUGGGGAUUUUGUGUGCAUG
rnacentral:sRNA from 1 species